rnacentral:rRNA from 1 species
UACAGAGGUCCCAAGCGUUGUUCGGAUUCAUUGGGCGUAAAGGGUGCGUAGGCGGCGCGGUAAGUCGGGUGUGAAAUCUCGGAGCUUAACUCCGAAACUGCAUUCGAUACUGCCGUGCUUGAGGACUGGAGAGGAGACUGGAAUUUACGGUGUAGCGGUGAAAUGCGUAGAUAUUGGGAGGAACACCAGUGGCGAAGGCGGCUCACUGGACCGGAACUGACGCUGAGGCGCGAAAGCGUGGGGAGCAAACAGG